GUGUGUGUGCAGGAACAAACAAAACUAAACCAAACCCUGAGCAUGGCCACGCGCACCUGCAACCUCAGCGUGGGGUUUCUGGCUGGCAGGCUGGUUCCAGCUUCAGUAAGGGGAUAAAGCAGAGAAUGAUAGAGCAGGACACCUAACACCCUCCUCUGUCACCUGGGCACGAACCCUGCACACACUUCAGAUUGUCUACGAUGGCCACGGGAUGUGUGUUUUAAAAAAGACCGAGAGCCAUUAUUUCAGGUUGUCUCUGUGGUUUACGACUUCUAUCCUGCUUUUAGAGGACAGGGCAGGACCCAGUAAUUCACAUUUCUAGCAGGUUUCAAGGGGUGCUACUAAUGCUGGUCCGUGAGCCACACUUAACCAGGAUCUUCAUCAGCUGGCGCAUUGUUUUUACAUUGGCCCAAGGUUUCUCGGCAGGCAGAGGCCAUAUUCCUUUCCACAGGUGCCAGUAGUCUUUUGCCACUAGGUGGCAGCACCUAUACACAAAUCGCUACACACAAGCCUGCUGUAAAGUAAAAAACCCACCCAAGCAAGCAAGCUGAAGAAGUGUUGUAAUCUGUGCUUAUUCUACAAAUUGGGUGAUAACCUAAUCCUGGAAGUUAAAAUGAUCGCUGGUGAAGAAUACAUGCCCGUGUAAACCAUGCUGCAAGUGUGGGCACAGGGAAAGGAGCUGGCUCUGGGCAUCUAGCCUGACAGCCCUGCGUGGGAUGUCAAUCCUCCAUCCGGUGAUUCAGAACCUUCCUCUCUGGACUCUGGCAAAGAUGCAGAAAAUUGCUCAAGGCGCUUUUGACAACUGCGCAAUGCUCUCCCUUGCACCAUUUUAAUGAGGCACAUCUGAGAUUAGGAAGCUGCUGUUCUAUUUUUAACAAGGGUCUCCAGAGAACUCUGUUUUGAUGAACACAGAUGUACUGGAUGCUUUUGCCUUUUAUGAAGUGAUUUGUUGCAGGUCGGCCUCCUAUAGGACUUCAAAUGCGGAUGAGCUACAGUGUCAGUUCGUAGACACUCGUCUCAGGAAGCUAGGUGUCACCCUGCAGCUGCACUGCGUCUUAGCUGAAAUGUGCUCCAUAGAAGGUGGAAAUGACCGUGGAAGGACAGGUGGAAACCAGGGACAGCGAAUACAAGGCUCCAGGGUGGUUGUGAUCCCCAGCAUUCUGCUGCUAUCACUGAGCAGAGGCCUGGCAUCUUGGCAGGCCUGGAAAGAAACACUCAGCAGCUGCAGGCCUCACUCAUGGGUCACAUCCAGCUAG
rnacentral:lncRNA from 1 species